rnacentral:misc_RNA from 1 species
AAAUCCAAAGGACCAAGAGAUUAAUUAAUUACCAGUAAUGCCCCUAAAACAUAAAGAAGGCAAGUAACAAGUGAGAAUAACUUAAUGCUUGAUAGUAGUGAUAUAAAUGGCACAAAAAAACAAAAUAAUAAAUUCAAAGAAUAUAGCAGCAGCAGGGGCUGCCAUCUGCCAGAAAGGUCAUGUACAUGGCCCUAUGUGACAGUCAAAUUUUACAUGCUUAAUCACCUUAAUUGCACGAGAGACAGACACUGAUUGUUUCAAAGCAGCGCCAAGAUAAAAGACUAG